GUGAUCCUCGUAUGUCUCCCUCAAGGUGUCGCCAAGUACUGUGACGACACCUUGAGGGAGACAUACGAGGAUCACAU